CUUCAUUAGCUUAGCAUGUCAAGUUCCUGAAACGCUGUAUUAUGUGUUUAAACAGGUUAGUAAAAAAGAAAAAAAAAGAAAAAGACUCGGCCCCUCGCAGGGUGAUUUCACACCCAGACCUCCAGACUGACAACCUGCGAUGCAGAUGUCCGUGCGCGGCAUCCAAGGUGUGAAGCCAGUCCCUCUGGCUUCUAGAAGCAGAACACCCCGCACUAUAACUCAGAACGCAACUGUUUCUCCUGCUGGGUCAUUGAGACGUUGGAAGUGAAGCAUGGAUGUGUGACACACGGAGGGUACAUACGUGCAGUCUGAUUCCUUUCACUUGCCGUUUAUCAAGCUGAGGAACCAGUUGCAGCAGAGGGUGCAACAUGGGGGGCUGACGCAUCCACACACCAACAUGGACAAACAUGAGAACCAUGAACAGCCACCCCUUGACACGGGGCCGGGGCGUGCAGAGAGGACUCAGAUACAACAGUAGCAGGGAAAGCAGAAGCUGGCUGCUUGCACGACUCCAAGAAACCACACAACGGAUGCUGUAACCCUGGCGAUGACCUUGCUGUGACCCUGAGAGCUGCUACCAAGGCAUGGACCAGACAUUCUGUGAUGAACGACCUGCUGUCAAUGUUCUCUCUCAUCACUCCCCUCCUAAAUUAAUCUUUCUCUCUGUCCCUCUACCUUUCUCUCUCUCUCUCCCUUAUUUUCACACUCUUUGUCAUUCUCACUCCCUUUUUCUACCUCCCUUUCUCUACUCUCUCUAAUUUAAUUCAAUUUAAA